GGUACCUACAAGGAGGGUGUCUCACCGAACGGUAGCUAAGACCUCACCACAACCGCGCGGGAGCGAGGAGUCGCGGCCAAAGGCGCCCGCCCGAGCCUCCGCUCUGGGCCGGACCCCAGCCCGAGCGGCCGAAAGAAGCCCCCCGCCCGGAUCGCAGCUGCCGCUGAAAUUCGCUGUGGCCGCUGCUUCUUCCCGCUUUAAUCCCAGACCUCCAGUCAUUGGGCAGCUCCUCAGAGGCAAGAAGUCAACACCAUGGCAACCCGACAAGCCUAUCAAAUCACCGGCUGGUGUGACAGCGGCAACACUGCAGGCAGGAGUGGGUUGGGCAGAAGAGCAGAGUGGCCGCCACGCUCAGGCUGCCAUGAAGAUGGAGAUCUAGGCAAACAUAGUGUUCUAGCACCUCUAAUGAUGGAAACAGACAUUUCAGAGUGAAAAAUGAUAACAUGAUUUUUAUGUGACUCAUAUGCAAAAUGAAAUACUUUCAUCUAUGAGGUCGGCUGAUGGGAAAUAAAAUCAGAUAUUUCACUUCUAACUCCGUCAAGCAAAAGAAAAAUCGGUUGUGAUUCCAAGAAGAGAUGAACUCUUGGUAAGGAAAUAUUUGUUUUACAAUUUUCAGAAAGAAUUAUCAAAUAACAUACUGUAAACAAGUCGAAUGCCUAAGCAUAUUCUUUGUUUGUUUUAAAUGAAACCAUAAAUGGUACAUGAGGGAACACAGUAACAUUUGAGGAAGAGGCAAUUGCAUGAAAAUUUAAAUUUCUUCCUGUGUUCAUAAAAAAUAAAAUUCAGGUGUCAUGGAAAAACACCUCUCAUCUUUUGAGCUUUACAUUAGUAAGCUGUCAACUCCUUGAAGAAAAGAAAGAUAGUUUAGCUUUGCUAUCAUGUGUUUUUUCGAACUUACUUGAUCAUGUUGGUUUUAAAUUCAUAUAUAGAUGGAGCCUUGGAUCCUUUGUUGUUUAUUUUAAUUUCUAGAUUUAAAUUGUGUAAUCUAAAAGUAUGUGACAACUUAUAAUGGUCUUUUUAAAGUAAAUUUCAAUUUUCCUGGUACAAGCAUAUGUUUUGACAAGAUGGCAUUGAAUCUGUAUAAGUUUAAUUGCCACAAUUGUUUGGUCAAAUAUUUGAUUUGGGGAUUCGUCAGUGAGAUAAAGAAGUCAGCCACAAGAACUUUAUAUGAAAACUGAUUUCGUAGAAAGAUGCUUCUUCCAUUUGCUUCUUCUAGUCAACGGAAGGGUGAAAUCUUGUCU
rnacentral:lncRNA from 1 species